CCUACGGGAGGCAGCAGUCGAGAAUCAUUCACAAUGGGGGAAACCCUGAUGGCGCGACGCCGCGUGGGGGAAUGAAGGUCUUCGGAUUGUAAACCCCUGUCAUGUGGGAGCAAAUUAAAAAGAUAGUACCACAAGAGGAAGAGACGGCUAACUCUGUGCCAGCAGCCGCGGUAAUACAGAGGUCUCAAGCGUUGUUCGGAAUCACUGGGCGUAAAGCGUGCGUAGGCUGUUUCGUAAGUCGUGUGUGAAAGGCGCGGGCUCAACCCGCGGACGGCACAUGAUACUGCGAGACUAGAGUACUGGAGGGGGAACCGGAAUUCUCGGUGUAGCAGUGAAAUGCGUAGAUAUCGAGAGGAACACUCGUGGCGAAGGCGGGUUCCUGGACAUUAACUGACGCUGAGGCACGAAGGCCAGGGGAGCGAAAGGGAUUAGAUACCCCAGUAGUC
rnacentral:rRNA from 1 species